UACGUAGGUGGCAAGCGUUGUCCGGAAUUACUGGGUGUAAAGCGCGUGUAGGCGGUCGGUCAAGUUUGCGGUGAAAGCGCCCGGCUCAACUGGGCGAUGUCCGCGAAAACUGGUCGACUGGAGGACGGUAGAGGCGAGUGGAAUUCCCGGUGUAGUGGUGAAAUGCGUAGAGAUCGGGAGGAACACCUGUGGCGUAGGCGGCUCUCUGGAACGGUACUGACGCUGAGACGCGAAAGCGUGGGGAGCGAACAGG
rnacentral:rRNA from 1 species